CCCUUAGAUGUUCUGGGCUGCACGCGUGCUACAAUGGCGCUUGCAACAAGUCUUGCCAACCCGAUAGGGUGAGCGGAUCUUUGAAGAGGCGUCGUGAUCGGGACAGUUGAUUGCAAUUAUUCAACUCGAACGAGGAAUUCCUUGUAAUCGCGAUUCAUCAUAUCGCGCUGAAUACGUCCCUGCCCUUUGUACACACCGCCCGUCGCUCCUACCGAUUGAGCGAUCCGGUGAAUGUUUUGGACUGGCGUCAGAAGCGGUUCGCUCCUGACACUACGAAAUUUUGUAAACCUUAUCGCUUAGAGGAAGGAAAAGUCGUAACA
rnacentral:rRNA from 1 species